rnacentral:rRNA from 1 species
UACGUAGGGGGCAAGCGUUGUCCGGAUUUAUUGGGCGUAAAGAGCUCGUAGGCGGCUCGGUAAGUCGGAUGUGAAACCUCCAGGCUCAACCUGGAGACGCCAUCUGAUACUGCCGUGGCUUGAGUCCGGUAGAGGAGCAGGGAAUUCCUGGUGUAGCGGUGAAAUGCGUAGAUAUCGAGAGGAACACCGGUGGCGAAGGCGGUUCUCUGGGCCUGUACUGACGCUGAGGAGCGAAAGCGUGGGGAGCGAACAGG